UCUCCGUUGGUGAACCAGCGGAGGGAUCAUUACCGAGUUUACAACUCCCAAACCCCUGUGAACAUACCUAUCGUUGCCUCGGCGGUGCCCGCUCCGGCGGCCCGCCAGAGGACCCCCAAACUCUUGUUUUAUACAGUAUCUUCUGAGUAACACGAUUAAAUAUAUCAAAACUUUCAACAACGGAUCUCUUGGUUCUG
rnacentral:misc_RNA from 1 species